CGACCGGCGCACGGGUGAGUAACACGUAUCCAACCUGCCGAUGACUCGGAGAUAGCCUUUCGAAAGAAAGAUUAAUACCCGAUGGCAUAGUUCUUCCGCAUGGUAGAACUAUUAAAGAAUUUCGGUCAUCGAUGGGGAUGCGUUCCAUUAGGUUGUUGGCGGGGUAACGGCCCACCAAGCCUUCGAUGGAUAGGGGUUCUGAGAGGAAGGUCCCCCACAUUGGAACUGAGACACGGUCCAA
rnacentral:rRNA from 1 species